rnacentral:rRNA from 1 species
UAUGACGUACUUGUACUGAUUGAGAUUUUAGCACGAAGUGAGUGGCGAACGGGUGAGUAACACGUGGGUAACCUGCCCAGAAGUAGGGGAUAACACCUGGAAACAGAUGCUAAUACCGUAUAACAGAGAAAACCGCAUGGUUUUCUUUUAAAAGAUGGCUCUGCUAUCACUUCUGGAUGGACCCGCGGCGUAUUAGCUAGUUGGUGAGGUAAAGGCUCACCAAGGCAGUGAUACGUAGCCGACCUGAGAGGGUAAUCGGCCACAUUGGGACUGAGACACGGCCCAGACUCCUACGGGAGGCAGCAGUAGGGAAUCUUCCACAAUGGACGCAAGUCUGAUGGAGCAACGCCGCGUGAGUGAAGAAGGGUUUCGGCUCGUAAAGCUCUGUUGUUAAAGAAGAACGUGGGUAAGAGUAACUGUUUACCCAGUGACGGUAUUUAACCAGAAAGCCACGGCUAACUACGUGCCAGCAGCCGCGGUAAUACGUAGGUGGCAAGCGUUAUCCGGAUUUAUUGGGCGUAAAGCGAGCGCAGGCGGUCUUUUAAGUCUAAUGUGAAAGCCUUCGGCUCAACCGAAGAAGUGCAUUGGAAACUGGGAGACUUGAGUGCAGAAGAGGACAGUGGAACUCCAUGUGUAGCGG